ACUUAAAUUGAAGAGUUUGAUCAUGGCUCAGAUUGAACGCUGGCGGCAGGCCUAACACAUGCAAGUCGAGCGGUAGCACAGAGAGCUUGCUCUCGGGUGACGAGCGGCGGACGGGUGAGUAAUGUCUGGGAAACUGCCUGAUGGAGGGGGAUAACUACUGGAAACGGUAGCUAAUACCGCAUAACGUCGCAAGACCAAAGUGGGGGACCUUCGGGCCUCAUGCCAUCAGAUGUGCCCAGAUGGGAUUAGCUAGUAGGUGGGGUAACGGCUCACCUAGGCGACGAUCCCUAGCUGGUCUGAGAGGAUGACCAGCCACACUGGAACUGAGACACGGUCCAGACUCCUACGGGAGGCAGCAGUGGGGAAUAUUGCACAAUGGGCGCAAGCCUGAUGCAGCCAUGCCGCGUGUGUGAAGAAGGCCUUCGGGUUGUAAAGCACUUUCAGCGGGGAGGAAGGCGUUAAGGUUAAUAACCUUGGCGAUUGACGUUACCCGCAGAAGAAGCACCGGCUAACUCCGUGCCAGCAGCCGCGGUAAUACGGAGGGUGCAAGCGUUAAUCGGAAUUACUGGGCGUAAAGCGCACGCAGGCGGUCUGUCAAGUCGGAUGUGAAAUCCCCGGGCUUAACCUGGGAACUGCAUUCGAAACUGGCAGGCUAGAGUCUUGUAGAGGGGGGUAGAAUUCCAGGUGUAGCGGUGAAAUGCGUAGAGAUCUGGAGGAAUACCGGUGGCGAAGGCGGCCCCCUGGACAAAGACUGACGCUCAGGUGCGAAAGCGUGGGGAGCAAACAGGAUUAGAUACCCUGGUAGUCCACGCCGUAAACGAUGUCGAUUUGGAGGUUGUGCCCUUGAGGCGUGGCUUCCGGAGCUAACGCGUUAAAUCGACCGCCUGGGGAGUACGGCCGCAAGGUUAAAACUCAAAUGAAUUGACGGGGGCCCGCACAAGCGGUGGAGCAUGUGGUUUAAUUCGAUGCAACGCGAAGAACCUUACCUGGUCUUGACAUCCACAGAACUUUCCAGAGAUGGAUUGGUGCCUUCGGGAACUGUGAGACAGGUGCUGCAUGGCUGUCGUCAGCUCGUGUUGUGAAAUGUUGGGUUAAGUCCCGCAACGAGCGCAACCCUUAUCCUUUGUUGCCAGCGGUUAGGCCGGGAACUCAAAGGAGACUGCCAGUGAUAAACUGGAGGAAGGUGGGGAUGACGUCAAGUCAUCAUGGCCCUUACGACCAGGGCUACACACGUGCUACAAUGGCAUAUACAAAGAGAAGCGACCUCGCGAGAGCAAGCGGACCUCAUAAAGUAUGUCGUAGUCCGGAUUGGAGUCUGCAACUCGACUCCAUGAAGUCGGAAUCGCUAGUAAUCGUAGAUCAGAAUGCUACGGUGAAUACGUUCCCGGGCCUUGUACACACCGCCCGUCACACCAUGGGAGUGGGUUGCAAAAGAAGUAGGUAGCUUAACCUUCGGGAGGGCGCUUACCACUUUGUGAUUCAUGACUGGGGUGAAGUCGUAACAAGGUAACCGUAGGGGAACCUGCGGUUGGAUCACCUCCUUACCUUAAAGAA
rnacentral:rRNA from 2 species